GGCGGCACGCCUUAUACAUGCAAGUCGAACGAAGUAGCAAUACUUAGUGGCAGACGGGUGAGUAACAUGUAGGUAUCUUCCCUUUGGUGAGGAAUAACACGAGGAAACUUGUGCUAAUACCUCAUAAGUCUUCACGGAGAAAGCUUUAUGCGCCGAAGGAUGAGCCUGCACUUGAUUAGUUUGUUGGUGGGGUAAUGGCCUACCAAGACUGUGAUCUAUAGCUGAUCUGAGAGGAUGAUCAGCCACAUUGGGACUGAGACACGGCCCAAACUCCUACGGGAGGCAGCAGUAGGGAAUAUUGCACAAUGGAGGAAACUCUGAUGCAGCGAUGCCGCGUGAGUGAAGAAGGCCUUUGGGUUGUAAAGCUCUUUCGUCGGGGAAGAAAAUGACUGUACCCGAAUAAGAAGGUCCGGCUAACUUCGUGCCAGCAGCCGCGGUAAUACGAAGGGACCUAGCGUAGUUCGGAAUUACUGGGCUUAAAGAGUUCGUAGGUGGUUAAAAAAGUUGGUGGUGAAAUCCCAGAGCUUAACUCUGGAACUGCCAUCAAAACUUUUUAGCUAGAGUAUGAUAGAGGAAAGCAGAAUUUCUAGUGUAGAGGUGAAAUUCGUAGAUAUUAGAAAGAAUACCAAUUGCGAAGGCAGCUUUCUGGAUCAUUACUGACGCUGAGGAACGAAAGCAUGGGUAGCGAAGAGGAUUAGAUACCCUCGUAGUCCAUGCCGUAAACGAUGUGUGUUAGACGUUGGAAAUUUAUUUUCAGUGUCGCAGCGAAAGCAUUAAACACACCGCCUGGGGAGUACGACC
rnacentral:rRNA from 1 species